rnacentral:rRNA from 1 species
GACGAACGCUGGCGGCGUGCCUAAUACAUGCAAGUCGAACGCAGUGGGGACGGGUGAGUAACACGUGGGUAACCUCCCAUCAGAGGGGAUAACACUUGGCAACAGGCGCAAAAGCGAUACUGAAGGAUGGACCCGCGGUGGAUUAGCUAGUUGGUGAGGGAACGGCUCACCAAGGCCACGAUGCUUAGCCGACCUGAGAGGUUGAUCGGCCACACUGGGACUGAGACACGGCCCAGACUCCUACGGGAGGCAGCAGUAGGGAAUCUUCGGCAAUGGACGAAAGUCUGACCGAGCAACGCCGCGUGAGUGAAGAAGGUUUUCGGAUCGUAAAACUCUGUUGUUAGAGAAGCGGUAUCUAACCAGAAAGCCACGGCUAACUACGUGCCAGCCGCCGCGGUAAUUC